GGUUUUAGUGGAAAUUAGUUAUUUUGAAGUUAACUUAAAAGUGUUCGAUUCAUUUGAAAGCCU
rnacentral:tRNA from 1 species